GUCUACGGCAUGCCACCUGAACAAGCCAAAUUCUGUCUGAUCUCGGAAGCUAAGCCCGAUUCUGUCUGAUCUCGGGCCUGGUUAGUACUUGGAUAGGAGACCACCUAGGAAGACCAGGUGCUGUAGGUG
rnacentral:rRNA from 1 species